GGGGCUGGGCAAUGCGUAGCCCUGGCCCCACCCCCUCCCGGUCACACCCAGGAGGUCACAGUGACCAGGAAACCCACAGACGUGGGCGGGGCUAGAGCGGGGUGGGUGCCGUCCAUGCCCGGCCCCUCCUACCAAAGGUCCCGCCCACUCACUGUGACGAGGAGGGCGGGGCCGGGCGUGCGUCGCUCCAGGUGGAUCAUGGCCAGCAGGGCCGGCAACUGCCUCUCGCGCGCCCCCGCGUAGAACAACCUGCAGGCGGGGACAGUGACAUCAUGAGGCAGCAAAUGUCCAACAGCAGCUCCAUCACCCAGUUCCUCCUCCUGGCAUUCACAGACACACGGGAGCUGCAGCUCUUGCACUUCUGGCUCUUCCUGGGCAUCUACCUGUCUGCCCUCCUGGGCAACGGCCUCAUCAUCAUCAUCAUAGCUUGGGACCAGCACCUGCACACCCCCAUGUACUUCUUCCUCUUCAGCCUCUCCCUUCUUGACCUGGGCUUCAUCUCCACCAUUGUCCGCAAGUCCAUGGCCAGCUACCUCUGCGACACCAGGGCCAUUUCCUAUACCAGAUGUGCUGCCUAGGCCUUUGUCUUUUUGAUGUCAUGAGAUUUUUACCUUCUCACCAUCAUGGCCUAUGACCGCUAGGCUGCCAUCUGCAAACCCCUGCACUACGGGACGCUCCUGGGCAGCAGAGCUUGUGUCCACAUGGCAGCAGCUGCCUGGGCCACUGGGUUCCUCAAUGCUCUGCUGCACACAGCCAAUACAUUUUCACUACCACUCUGCAAGGGCAAUGCCCUGAACCAGUUCUUCUGUGAAAUCCCCCUGAUCCUCAAGCUCUCCUGCUCAGACGCCUGCCUCAGGGAAACUGGGCUUCUCAUGUCUAGUGCUUUUUUGGGGGAGGAUACUUUGUUUUCAUUGUGGUGUCCUAUGUGCAGAUAUUCAGGGCCGUGCUGAGGAUCCCCACUGAGCAGGGACAGCACCAAGCCUUUUCUACAUGCCUCCCUCACCUGGCUGUGGUCUCCUUGUUUAUCAGUACUGGAAUGUUUGCCUGCCUGAAGCCCCCUUCCCUGUCUUCUACAUCCUUGGGCCUGGUGGUGUCAUUUCUGUAUUCACUGAUACCCCUGCAUUGAAGCCCCUCAUCUACAGCAUGAGGAACAAGGAUCUCAAGGAUGCCCUGAGGAAGCUGAUGUACAUUGCAUUUGCUGUGUAGGGGUGACUUUGGGAAAGGCAAGGCUCACCUGGAGUUGGUGGCUGCAAGAAAAGUCAAGAGCAAAACCAAGAGCUUCAAUGUCUGCGUCAGAGACCAAGGCUGAACAAGGGAAAUGCGGGGCUGCUGCUGAGGGGAAUUUAAUAACAGCAGAGUGUGAUGCUGGUGCUGAGGGACUCAA